GGCCUACCAUGGUGGUAACGGGUAACGGGGUGUUAGGGCACGACACCGGAGAGGGAGCCUGAGAAACGGCUACCACAUCCAAGGAUGGCAGCAGGCGCGCAAAUUACCCAAUCCCGACACGGGGAGGUAGUGACAAUAAAUAACAAUACGGGGUUCUUUCGGAUUUCGUAAUUGGAAUGAGUACAAUUUAAAUCUCUUAACGAGGAACAAUUGGAGGGCAAGUCUGGUGCCAGCAGCCGCGGUAAUUCCAGCUCCAAUAGCGUAUAUUAAAGUUGCUGCAGUUAAAAAGCUCGUAGUUGAAUUUCGGGACCAUCAUGUCGGUCGUGCCUCGGUACGUACUGGCAUUGUUGGUUUCUCCCUUCUGACGAACCAUGAUGUCAUUUAUUUGGUGUUGUGGGGAAUCAGGACUGUUACUUUGAAAAAAUUAGAGUGUUUAAAGCAGGCUCACGCUUGAAUACAUUAGCAUGGAAUAAUGAAAUAGGACGUUUGAUUCUAUUUUGUUGGUUUCUAGGAUCGACGUAAUGAUUAAUAGGGAUAGUUGGGGGCAUUAGUAUUCAAUUGUCAGAGGUGAAAUUCUUGGAUUUAUUGAAGACUAACUACUGCGAAAGCAUUUGCCAAGGAUGUUUUCAUUAAUCAAGAACGAAAGUUAGGGGAUCGAAGACGAUCAGAUACCGUCGUAGUCUUAACCAUAAACUAUGCCGACUAGGGAUCGGAUGAUGUUAAUUUUUUAAUGACUCAUUCGGCGCCUUACG
rnacentral:rRNA from 1 species